rnacentral:rRNA from 1 species
UACGGAGGGGGCUAGCGUUGUUCGGAAUUACUGGGCGUAAAGCGUGCGCAGGCGGUUUUGUAAGUCUGUCGUGAAAGCCCCGGGCUCAACCUGGGAAUUGCGAUGGAGACUGCAAGGCUUGAAUCUGGCAGAGGGGGGUAGAAUUCCACGUGUAGCAGGUGAAAUGCGUAGAGAUGUGGAGGAACACCGAUGGCGAAGGCAGCCCCCUGGGUCAAGAUUGACGCUCGAUGCACGAAAGCGUGGGGAGCAAACAGG